rnacentral:rRNA from 1 species
UACGAAGGGGGCUAGCGUUGCUCGGAAUCACUGGGCGUAAAGCGCACGUAGGCGGAUCUUUAAGUCAGGGGUGAAAUCCUGGAGCUCAACUCCAGAACUGCCUUUGAUACUGAAGAUCUUGAGUUCGGGAGAGGUGAGUGGAACUGCGAGUGUAGAGGUGAAAUUCGUAGAUAUUCGCAAGAACACCAGUGGCGAAGGCGGCUCACUGGCCCGAUACUGACGCUGAGGCACGAAAGCGUGGGGAGCAACAGG